AUUGAUGUGAAAUAGUAAUUGCAUGUUUUAGUAAAUUUUUAAGCUUGAAAAUUAAAUUGUUAAAUGAUAUGGCUAUGAUGGAAUAUUAGUAAUGCAUGAGAUAUCAUGAUUUUUGCAUUAAGAUGCAUGAAUAUUUUAUGACAAUGGAGAUGUUGGCCUAAGACCAUAAUAUUUAUGCAUGGCAUUUAGAAUGAUAUAAUUUGUUAGGCUUAU
rnacentral:lncRNA from 1 species